CCACGGUGUGAUUCAUGACUGGGGUGAAGUCGUAACAAGGUAGCCGUAGGGGAACCUGCGGCUGGAUCACCUCCUUAAUCGACGAC
rnacentral:rRNA from 1 species